rnacentral:tRNA from 1 species
GGGAGAUUAAAGCUUGGAAAAGUAAAGCCAUGAUUCAAAAACUCAUUAAUCAAUCUGAAAAGAUAGAGCAUCCCGAUUUAUAAUCGGGACGGUCAAAGGUUCGAAUCCUUUCGCGCUCA